GGGGAUAUAGCUCAGUGAUAGAGCACUUGCCUAGUAUGUGUGAGGCUCUGGGUUUGAUCCCUAGAACCACCA
rnacentral:tRNA from 1 species